rnacentral:rRNA from 1 species
AGGACGAACGCUGGCGGCGUGCUUAACACAUGCAAGUCGAGCGGUGAUCCUCCUUCGGGAGGUGAGCAGCGGCGAACGGGUGAGUAACACGUGGGCAACCUGCCCCUCACACUGGGAUAACCUCGGGAAACCGGGGCUAAUACCGGAUAUGACCUCGAGCGGCAUCUCUUGAGGUGGAAAGCUCCGACGGUGAGGGAUGGGCCCGCGGCCUAUCAGCUUGUUGGUGGGGUAAUGGCCUACCAAGGCGACGACGGGUAGCCGGCCUGAGAGGGCGACCGGCCACACUGGGACUGAGACACGGCCCAGACUCCUACGGGAGGCAGCAGUGGGGAAUAUUGCGCAAUGGGCGAAAGCCUGACGCAGCGACGCCGCGUGAGGGAUGAAGGCCUUCGGGUUGUAAACCGUCUUUCAGCAGGGACGAAGCGAAAGUGACGGUACCUGCAGAAGAAGCACCGGCUAACUACGCGCCAGCAGCCGCGGUAA